GGGCCCGGGGCCCGGCACCCGGGAGGGAAACACGCCCGGCACACGCGCCGCCGCGGGCGCCACAAAUACCGCGCGGCCGGGGGCGCCGGAACGGGGUGCCCUCCCCGGGGGAACGCCCCGGGGCGCCCACCGCGGGGCUCAGGGCACCCACCGCGCGGGCACCGGGCGUCCCGCUCGGGCUCGGGGAAGCGGCGGGCGCCCAGACGCUCCCCGGCCACGCGGAGGCGCCUCCCGAGGCUCUCGCGGCCCCGGGCGGGCGGGUGGCGACGCCGGGGUCUCCCCGGAUCCCAAUUCUCCAGGGGCUGUCGCGCGCCGGGCCCGCCACGUACCACCGGGUCCCCGCCGAAGCCGGCGGCGCCGGGGAGAAAAACGCUGACCUACCACCCAACCUGCCUUCUGGGAUGGAUGCAGACCAACAUUUGCAAGUGUUAAAGGAGGAUAUGAAUGCUGAUUAAAAAGGUAGCAAUUCGAGCUCACAAGUAAUUUCCCCCAAAGGUCAGUUAGACCCACAAGAGUUUUCUGGCGCACACAGGAAGUCUCAGCUUCAUCUGUAUUUAAUGUAUUUCCCUUCUCACUGGUCCCCAUAAAGGUGAGUUUGGGGUGUGGUAAAUAUUUCACAGUAAAACUUUCCAUACCCGCAAAUUUCAGAGCCCCAGUCAAUGGCCCCCUUUAUUUUCACUUUGAAUAUAAUAAAGUGUCUGCUCAAUCACAGAAUAGGGAUAUUUGUUGGAACAUACACACUAUAUUCCCUUGGUGGUGUUAUUGACAACUGACUCCUGUACGUUACAUUGACUUGGGGGUUUCACAACUGCCCACUAACGCCCCCAUCAGCACACAGCAUGUUGUAAAACCUUUCUAGUCUUUCUAGUGCAUCUCACAAGCUAAUAGCUCUUCAGAGAAAGAAACACAAAACCAUGAGAGGACAGAAAUUGUGUCCUUCCAAAUUGUGAUCUCAUCAAGAAGAAAGAGAGAAGCUAGCCCAGCAACCAGAGACUGUAAUGGGGAAAACCAUUUAUCAAUCCAGAAAGAUUGAGACCCAGUUCAGUCAUCCCAGUUGGCUCUUUCUUACCAGAGGCCCAGAGACCUGGAGAACUUCCCCUACAUCCCUUCCUGAGGUCACUGUCCAGAGAGACAAAGAAGACCUCAGGGGGCUGAGCUAGCACCAGGCUUGAGGAUCCACCAUGAAGCUCAGCGGAGCAUCAUUGACACUUGCUACACCCUGGACACCAUUUCAGGGACCCUAACCCUAACGCUCACAGACGCUCUGAAGCAUAGCUACUGUCAUUUCCUCCAUUUUACAGAUGGGCAGACCAAGAAGGCUCAGACAGGUGAAGUGACUUGCCUAAGGCCAA